rnacentral:lncRNA from 1 species
AAGUCAGCAAGCAUGCGUCACAGUUUAAUCAAAGGGAACGAGAUUUGCUGCUUGCCUGAUACUUGCACCUAAGAUCAAUGAUGCAGGGAAAAGGAUCCAAUGUAAGACUACAAUCUGAAGUAACUCUCACUUCAAUACACAAAAUUUGAUGCUUUUUUUUUUUUUUUUCCUGUCCUCUACAUUAUCAUGAGCUGAGAAGAUUUUUCAACACAGACCUGAGAAGGUUGAAUUAAUAAUUGCAAAAAAGUUAUGGAAUAAGUUGACAGAAAAGGCUCUUUUUUGUUCGGUAGAGGACAGAAAGUAGUUCAAGCAUAUUGUAAUAGCACUCCCAGGCACCCCAUUACCUAUCAAGGCGGUACUUAACGAAGCAUUUACGGUAUGGUGCGCCAAAAAUACAAAGAAAUGUGUUAAUGAAUGUCAAUGAUGAUCAACAGAAAGCUCUUUACUUGUAGAUUAAACAGAUGAUUUCAUAAAUAUGCUUUUCAAUUACGCUUUUACAUCGUAUAUAUCUCAUCACAAAAAAUAAUAUUACGGUGAGUAAUAUAAAAAUGUUUUUCAAAUAAUUUUCAGCUCAAAUGGACUAACUUUUUUUUUUUUUUGCAGCAACCAUGGAAGAUCUCAAAAUAGUAAGAAGUUUGCUUUCAAGGAGAAAAAAAAGGCAAGACUAUGUAUAGCAUUCCAUAAAAAAGAAAAAGUUGAAAAACAACCCUUCACCGUAAUCUACAUCUUAUAGAUUUAAGCCAUCAAAAGGGGUAAGUGAAGAAUAACUUUUGAUCUUCUUCAUUUAAAAAAAAUAGUAAAAAAAUAAAAAUUAUGUAACUCUCACGAUC